rnacentral:rRNA from 1 species
AUUGAACGCUGGCGGCAGGCUUAACACAUGCAAGUCGAGCGGGGAAAAGUAGCUUGCUACUUAACUUAGCGGCGGACGGGUGAGUAAUGCUUAGGAAUCUGCCUAUUAGUGGGGGACAACAUUUCGAAAGGGAUGCUAAUACCGCAUACGCCCUACGGGGGAAAGCAGGGGAUCUUCGGACCUUGCGCUAAUAGAUGAGCCUAAGUCGGAUUAGCUAGUUGGUGGGGUAAAGGCCUACCAAGGCGACGAUCUGUAGCGGGUCUGAGAGGAUGAUCCGCCACACUGGGACUGAGACACGGCCCAGACUCCUACGGGAGGCAGCAGUGGGGAAUAUUGGACAAUGGGGGGAACCCUGAUCCAGCCAUGCCGCGUGUGUGAAGAAGGCCUUUUGGUUGUAAAGCACUUUUAAGCGAGGAGGAGGCUACUUAGAUUAAUACUCUAGGAUAGUGGACGUUACUCGCAGAAUAAGCACCGGCUAACUCUGUGCCAGCAGCCGCGGU